UGAACAACUGCUGGAGAUGUAGGUUUAUUGUCUCCUUCUCCUUUCUGUGUCAUUUUGCAGGAAGUCACACAGCUCUACUGUGCACUUCAGCAGGGGAGAGGUAUGCUGUGGCUGCAGGGAGUUCAUGCUCUUCCAGCAAGCCAAGCUGGGGUCACCUUGAUUCCACCUCCAUCUCAGGACAAAAAGGGAGGUGCAUUAAGAUGAAAAUAUUAUUUUGUGGAAGUUUCAGUGUGUUGUCCUGGACUCAGCGCUGAAAAUACAGCAGUAAAACCAUUCCCCUCUCUGCACAUAACUUGGGCAAGGACUGGAUGCUUAAGGAAGAUAACAGAUUUGAUGAAGAAAUUCAGAAACACAAAACUGACAAAUGAAAUAAACAAGUUUAUCGUAUUUCCUGUAUGAAAGCAUAAAGAGGAAAGUUUCAAAGGAAACAACUUUCAAGUGACAGAACAUGUAAGAACAUGUGAUUUAAACGAGUUUACGAAGUAAGAUUUAAAUACAGGCUUUUAAGUUGGCUGGAUGAUCUCUACUCAGUUCUUUAAAGAUUCUGAACUGUUUUGUUCAAUGACAGAAAUGAUUUAACUUUAUUAAUAACUUUAUUAUGUUAGUUAAACAAACUGAAACAUAACGAAAUAGAUAAAAAGAAGAAAAAGAAAACCUCAACAACUUAAAUCCAUCAACACCCAGCAAAGAAGCCCCAAAUUAUCACUCAAUCUGGGUCAUUAAAACUAACAUCAAAAUAAAUUAGGAAUUAAGCAAUACAGCUAUCAAAUUAAGACCAGGCCUAUUAUCAGUCUCCCUUCUUUGAACUGUCUUUUGGUUAUGAUGAUUUUGUCUCCUGGAACUGCAUCAAGCAGUGGGAUUACACAACAGACACCAGGAGAGCACUCUUGACAAGCCAAUUGUGGUAACUUGUCUUUCGCAGAAGCUGUCUUUUCAGAGCUCCAUGGACUACUAACACAAACCACAAAACUGGUCUAUUUCAGUACUUCUUAACUUGUGAAAUCUAUCUUACAGAGAGAGGACAUGAGAAGAUGAGGCAUGAGAAGAUGAGGCAUGAGAAGACAACAGCACGCUGUGAGGGACAGGCUGACCUUUCCCUGUCUUGUG
rnacentral:lncRNA from 13 species